rnacentral:rRNA from 1 species
AUUGAACGCUGGCGGCAGGCCUAACACAUGCAAGUCGAACGGAAAGGCCCCUUCGGGGGUGCUCGAGUGGCGAACGGGUGAGUAACACGUGGGUGAUCUGCCCCUGACUUUGGGAUAAGCCUGAGAAAUUGGGUCUAAUACCGGAUAUGACCUGCCCUUGCAUGGGGGUGGGUGGAAAGCUUUUGCGGUCAGGGAUGGGCCCGCGGCCUAUCAGCUUGUUGGUGGGGUAAUGGCCUACCAAGGCGACGACGGGUAGCCGACCUGAGAGGGUGAUCGGCCACACUGGGACUGAGACACGGCCCAGACUCCUACGGGAGGCAGCAGUGGGGAAUAUUGCACAAUGGGCGCAAGCCUGAUGCAGCGACGCCGCGUGAGGGAUGACGGCCUCGGUGUAACGU